UACGAAGGGGGCUAGCGUUGCUCGGAAUCACUGGGCGUAAAGCGCACGUAGGCGGAUUUUUAAGUCAGGGGUGAAAUCCUGGAGCUCAACUCCAGAACUGCCUUUGAUACUGGGAAUCUCGAGUCCGGGAGAGGUGAGUGGAACUGCGAGUGUAGAGGUGAAAUUCGUAGAUAUUCGCAAGAACACCAGUGGCGAAGGCGGCUCACUGGCCCGAUACUGACGCUGAGGUGCGAAAGCGUGGGGAGCAAACAGG
rnacentral:rRNA from 1 species